rnacentral:rRNA from 1 species
AAGAAAGUUAAUAAGGGCGUACGGUGAAUGCCUUGGCUCUCAGAGACGAUGAAGGACGUGAUAAGCUGCGAAAAGUUGCGGGGAGGUGCAAAUAACCUUUGAUCCGCAAAUAUCCGAAUGGGACAACCCAGCCUAGCAAUAGGUUAUCCGAUUAUGUCGGAGGUCAACCCGCCGAACUGAAACAUCUAAGUAAGCGGAGGAAAAGAAAACAAAAGUGAUUCCCAUAGUAGUGGCGAGCGAACUGGGAACAGCCUAAACCAACAUUGUUUCGGCAAUGUUGGGGUUGUAGGGCUGCGAUAUACGAAUUAAUUUUAAGUGGAACGGUUUGGAAAAUCCGGCUAUAGAAGGUGAAAGCCCUGUACACGUAAAGAAUUAGCUAGUUAGCAGUACCCUGAGUAGGGCGGGACACGAGGAAUCCUGUCUGAAUCUGCCGGGACCAUCCGGUAAGGCUAAAUACUCCUGAGAGACCGAUAGUGAACUAGUACCGUGAGGGAAAGGUGAAAAGAACCGCGAACAGCGGAGUGAAAUAGUACCUGAAACCGUGCGCCUACAAGCUGUAGGAGCCCCGAGUGAUCGGGGUGACUGCGUGCCUUUUGCAUAAUGAGCCUACGAGUUAGUCGUCACUGGCGAGGUUAAGUUCUUAAGGAACGGAGCCGAAGCGAAAGCGAGUCUGAAUAGGGCGUAAAGUCAGUGGCGCUAGACGCGAAACCUUGUGAUCUACCCAUGGUCAGGUUGAAGUCCCGGUAACACGGGAUGGAGGACCGAACCAGUUAACGUUGAAAAGUUUUUGGAUGAACUGUGGGUAGGGGUGAAAGGCCAAUCAAACUGGGAAAUAGCUCGUACUCCCCGAAAUGCAUUUAGGUGCAGCCUCGGUUACGAGUCUUGCAGAGGUAGAGCUACUGAUUGGAUGCGAGGGCUUCACCGCCUAUCAAAUCCAGACAAACUCCGAAUGCUGCAAGAUGCUUACCGGGAGUGAGGGCGCGGGUGCUAAGGUCCGUGUCCAAAAGGGAAAGAACCCAGAUCAUCAGCUAAGGUCCCCAAGUAUAUACUAAGUUGAACUAACGAGGUCUGAUUGCUUAGACAGCUAGGAUGUUGGCUUGGAAGCAGCCAUUCAUUUAAAGAGUGCGUAACAGCUCACUAGUCGAGCGAUCGGGCAUGGAUAAUAAUCGGGCAUUAAGUAUAUCACCGAAGCUAUGAAUUGCCCCGAAUUCUCGGGGCACUGGUAGGGGAGCAUUCCAGACUGCGUUGAAGCCGUUCCGUAAGGGGCGGUGGAGUGUCUGGAAAAGCAAAUGUAGGCAUAAGUAACGACAAAGGGGGUGGGAAACCCCCUCGCCGAUAGACUAAGGUUUCCUGAUCAACGUUAAUCGGAUCAGGGUUAGUCGGGACCUAAGGAAAAGCCGAAAGGCGUAUUCGAUGGAUAAUCGGUUAAUAUUCCGAUACUUUUUAAUACUGCGAUGGGGUGACGGAGUGAUGAAAGAUCCGCGUGCUGACGGAAUAGCACGUUAAAGGGCGUAAGUGUUGAGAGGGGUAGGUAAAUCCGCCCUUUGAGCUGAAACCUGACAGUACCGGGAGCCUUCGGGCAACCGGAUAGUGAUCCUAAAGGCUUCCAAGAAAAACCUCUAAGCUUCAGGUAUUGAAAACCCGUACCACAAACCGACACAGGUAGUCAAGGAGAGAAUCCUAAGGCGCUCGAGUGAUCCAUGGCUAAGGAACUAGGCAAAAUAGCCCCGUAACUUCGGGAGAAGGGGCGCCACGAGCAAUCGUGGCCGCAGUGAAAAGGCCCAGGCGACUGUUUAUCACAAACACAUGGCUAUGCUAAAUCGAAAGAUGAUGUAUAUGGCCUGACACCUGCCCGGUGCCGGAAGGUUAAGAGGGGAUGUCAUCGCAAGAGAAGCAUUGAAUUGAAGCCCCGGUAAACGGCGGCCGUAACUAUAACGGUCCUAAGGUAGCGAAAUUCCUUGUCGGGUAAGUUCCGACCUGCACGAAUGG